UAUGGAGAGUUUGAUCCUGGCUCAGGACGAACGCUGGCGGCGUGCUUAACACAUGCAAGUCGAGCGAUGAAGUUCCUUCGGGAAUGGAAUAGCGGCGAACGGGUGAGGAACACGUGAGGAAUCUACCUUCUACUCUGGGAUAACUCCGGGAAACCGGGGCUAAUACCGGAUAUGAAACUCGAUGGCAUCAUUGAGUUUGGAAAGUUUUUCGGUAGAAGAUGACCUCGCGGCCUAUCAGCUUGUUGGUGAGGUAAUGGCUCACCAAGGCGACGACGGGUAGCCGGCCUGAGAGGGCGACCGGCCACACUGGGACUGAGACAC
rnacentral:rRNA from 1 species